rnacentral:rRNA from 1 species
GACAGAGGGUGCAAACGUUGUUCGGAAUUACUGGGCGUAAAGCGCGUGUAGGCGGCCCUGUAAGUCGGGUGUGAAAUCCCACGGCUCAACCGUGGAAGUGCAUUCGAAACUACAGGGCUAGAGUUCUGGAGAGGAAGGUGGAAUGCUUGGUGUAGAGGUGAAAUUCGUAGAUAUCGAGAGGAACACCGGUGGCGAAGGCGGCCUUCUGGACAGUGACUGACGCUGAGACGCGAAAGCGUGGGGAGCAAACAGG